AAGUAAUAACGCUGAAAGAGCUAUUGUUUCUAGUGUUUCAGCCACGAACCUAAGUUUUCUCCCGCAGACACUCUGUCUAUCCUAAGUUUGAUAACCGGUAGCAACGACUCUGGGACCCUGUCCUGGGUCUACGAAUCGGAAAUGCCACUCGUCGAUUUGUACGACCGAUAAUUAGAGCCAGAGUUAAGUGUACAAGCUUGAUAAUUAGACUCCGAGUAAGCCUAUUACGCGCUUUGCGUCUUCGAUUGUACCAGCGAACCACAAUCGACGAAUUACUCCGCAGCAUUAAGGUGUACGAUAUCUGGGAAAUUCCCAUGAUGUGGCAAU
rnacentral:misc_RNA from 1 species